UAACAAGGAUUCCCCUAGUAACGGCGAGCGAAGCGGGAAGAGCUCAAAUUUGAAAGCUGGCACCUUUGGUGUCCGCGUUGUAAUCUCGAGACGUGUUUUCCGUGUGGCGCUAUGGACAAGUCCCUUGGAACAGGGCAUCGUAGAGGGUGAAAAUCCCGUACUUGCCAUGGAUGUACCAUGCUUUGUGAUACACGCUCUAAGAGUCGAGUUGUUUGGGAUUGCAGCUCAAAAUGGGUGGUAGACUCCAUCUAAAGCUAAAUAUCGGGGAGAGACCGAUAGCGAACAAGUACCGUGAGGGAAAGAUGAAAAGCACUUUGGAAAGAGAGUUAAAAGUACGUGAAAUUGUCGAAAGGGAAGCGCUUGAAGUCAGCCAUGCUGCUUGAGACUCAGCCUUGCUUUUGCUUGGUGUAUUUCUCGGUAGCAAGCCAGCAUUGGUUUGAGUCGUCGGAGAAGGGUACGAGGAAUGUGGCAUCUUCGGAUGUGUUAUAGACUUGUACUGGAUACGACGAUUUGGAUCAAGGAACGCAGUGUGCCUCUGGCGGGUCUUCGGACACCUUCACACUUAGGAUGCUGGCGUAAU
rnacentral:rRNA from 1 species